rnacentral:rRNA from 1 species
UACGGAGGGUGCAAGCGUUAUCCGGAUUCACUGGGUUUAAAGGGUGCGUAGGCGGGUUGGUAAGUCCGUGGUGAAAUCCCCAAGCUUAACUUGGGAACUGCCGUGGAUACUCUCAAUCUUGAAUAUCGUGGAGGUAAGCGGAAUAUGUCAUGUAGCGGUGAAAUGCUUAGAUAUGACAUAGAACACCAAUUGCGUAGGCAGCUUACUACACGAUCACUGACGCUGAGGCACGAAAGCGUGGGGAGCAAACAGG